CUAAUACACAAUGGGUACUGAUAAUUUUAAAUUAUCGGUUGAGAAAGACCAUCAAACUUGAACAGGUUAAGACCUGCGUAAGAAUGUGUCCGAGUUUUUAU
rnacentral:ncRNA from 2 species